GAGUUUGAUCUUGGCUCAGAGUGAACGCUGGCGGCAGGCCUAACACAUGCAAGUCGAACGGCAGCACAGGAGAGCUUGCUCUCUGGGUGGCGAGUGGCGGACGGGUGAGGAAUACAUCGGAAUCUACCUUGUCGUGGGGGAUAACGUAGGGAAACUUACGCUAAUACCGCAUACGACCUACGGGUGAAAGCGGCGGACCGCAAGGCGUCGCGCGAUUGGAUGAGCCGAUGUCCCGAUUA
rnacentral:rRNA from 1 species